GAUGAACGCUAGCUACAGGCUUAACACAUGCAAGUCGAGGGGAAACGAUAUUGGAAGCUUGCUUCCGAUAGGCGUCGACCGGCGCACGGGUGAGUAACGCGUAUCCAACCUGCCCAUCACUUGGGGAUAACCUUGCGAAAGUAAGACUAAUACCCAAUGACGUCUCUAGAAGACAUCUGAAAGAGAUUAAAGAUUUAUCGGUGAUGGAUGGGGAUGCGUCUGAUUAGCUUGUUGGCGGGGUAACAGCCCACCAAGGCGACGAUCAGUAGGGGUUCUGAGAGGAAGGUCCCCCAAAUUGGAACUGAGACACGGUCCAAACUCCUACGGGAGGCAGCAGUGAGGAAUAUUGGUCAAUGGACGAGAGUCUGAACCAGCCAAGUAGCGUGCAGGAAGACGGCCCUAUGGGUUGUAAACUGCUUUUAUAAGGGAAUAAAGUGAGUCUCGUGAGACUUUUUGCAUGUACCUUAUGAAUAAGGACCGGCUAAUUCCGUGCCAGCAGCCGCCGCCGUAA
rnacentral:rRNA from 1 species